rnacentral:rRNA from 1 species
AUGAAUACCAUGAGGGGGGAAGAAAGAUCUUGCUCCCAUUACGCGUUGGUCCUUGCAGUCGUAGUCAGCACAAAGAAAAGAAUGGGUGGUUCACACUGUGACGUUUCACUCACGGCUGCCUGCUAUAAUCCACUGACAAGUCAAUUUCCAAAUCUUACUGAAUACCGACCGCGCAGAAUAUUCCUCCUUUUGCAGGCGUCCACUCAUUCUUGGCCCAGUCUGUCUAGAAUUGUUACUUCAAGCAAUAAUUUAGUUAACCUGACAUCACUUGCCUUACCGUUUUCACCAAACAAAUCUCAGCUUUUCCCACUAAUACUAAUGAAAAAAAUAUAUCAGUUCUUGAUGCAUCCUUUUGUGAACAGGAAAGAGAAGCUGGGCAUCCGGGAAAGAAGCAGUCGGUGA